CCUACGGGAGGCAGCAGUGAGGAAUAUUGGACAAUGGGCGCAAGCCUGAUCCAGCCAUGCCGCGUGCAGGAAGAAGCAUCUAUGGUGUGUAAACUGCUUUUGUACGGGAAGAAACACUGCUACGUGUAGCAGCUUGACAGUACCGUAAGAAUAAGGAUCGGCUAACUCCGUGCCAGCAGCCGCGGUAAUACGGAGGAUCCAAGCGUUAUCCGGAAUCAUUGGGUUUAAAGGGUCCGUAGGCGGUUUGGUAAGUCAGUGGUGAAAGCCCAUCGCUUAACGAUGGAACGGCCAUUGAUACUGCCAGACUUGAAUUACUAGGAAGUAACUAGAAUAUGUAGUGUAGCGGUGAAAUGCUUAGAUAUUACAUGGAAUACCAAUUGCGAAGGCAGGUUACUACUAGUUUAUUGACGCUGAUGGACGAAAGCGUGGGGAGCGAACAGGAUUAGAUACCCUGGUAGUCCACGCCGUAAACGAUGGAUACUAGCUGUUCGGGGUAACCUGAGUGGCUAAGCGAAAGUGAUAAGUAUCCCACCUGGGGAGGUACGUUCGUCGAGAAGUUAGUAAACGUUAACGAAAGUAAGUUAAGUUAGGACGNGAGAGAGCGACGACGACGACGAGGAGGAGGAGG
rnacentral:rRNA from 1 species